GCUGCUCGGGGGGUGCUGUGCUCCUCUCCCUGAAUCACAGGCUGCCGCUGGGGAGGAAGGACGACACAUUCGGCUCCCUGUAAUUUGCACUGCCGCUGGGGAGGAAGGACGACACCUUCGGCUCCCUGUAAUUCGCACUGCCGCUGGGGAGGAAGGACGACACCUUCGGCUCCCUGUAAUUCGCACUGCCGCUGGGGAGGAAGGACGACACCUUCGGCUCCCUGUAAUUCGCACUGC